rnacentral:rRNA from 1 species
AUUGAAUGCUGGCGGCAGGCCUAACACAUGCAAGUCGAACGGUAACAGGAAGCAGCUUGCUGCUUCGCUGAUGAGUGGCGGACGGGUGAGUAAUGUCUGUGAGACUGCCUGAUGGAGGGGGAUAACUACUGGAAACGGUAGCUAAUACCGCAUAACGUCGCAAGACCAAAGAGGGGGACCUUCGGGCCUCUUGCCAUCGGAUAUGCCCAGAUGGGAUUAGCUAGUAGGUGGGGUAACGGCUCACCUAGGCGACGAUCCCUAGCUGGUCUGAGAGGAUGACCAGCCACACUGGAACUGAGACACGGUCCAGACUCCUACGGGAGGCAGCAGUGGGGAAUAUUGCACAAUGGGCGCAAGCCUGAUGCAGCCAUGCCGCGUGUAUGAAGAAGGCCUUCGGGUUGUAAAGUACUUUCAGCGGGGAGGAAGGCGAUAAGGUUAAUAACCUUGUCGAUUGACGUUACCCGCAGAAGAAGCACCGGCUAACUCCGUGCCAGCCGCCGCGGUAA